UGCGCAGGCGGUUCUGCAAGUCAGAUGUGAAAUCCCCGGGCUUAACCUGGGAACUGCGUUUGAAACUACGGAGCUAGAGUACGGCAGAGGGGGGUGGAAUUCCACGUGUAGCAGUGAAAUGCGUAGAUAUGUGGAGGAACACCGAUGGCGAAGGCAGCCCCCUGGGCCGAUACUGACGCUCAGGCACGAAAGCGUGGGGAGCAAACAGGAUUAGAUACCCUGGUAGUCCACGCCCUAAACUAUGUCAACUAGUUGUCGGGGAAGCAAUUCCUUGGUAACGAAGCUAACGCGUGAAGUUGACCGCCUGGGGAGUACGGUCGCAAGAUUAAA
rnacentral:rRNA from 1 species